rnacentral:rRNA from 1 species
GACGUAGGGUGCGAGCGUUGUCCGGAAUUAUUGGGCGUAAAGAGCUCGUAGGCGGUGUGUCACGUCGGCCGUGAAAACCUGCAGCUUAACUGUGGGCGUGCGGUCGAUACGGGCAUCACUGGAGUUCGGCAGGGGAGACUGGAAUUCCUGGUGUAGCGGUGAAAUGCGCAGAUAUCAGGAGGAACACCGGUGGCGAAGGCGACAUCCUGGACCGGUAUUGACGCUGAGGCGCGAAAGCCAGGGGAGCAAACGGG